rnacentral:rRNA from 1 species
CAAUAGCGUAUAUUUAAGUUGCUGCAGUUAAAAAGCUCGUAGUUGGAUUUCGGGUGGGAAUGGCCGGUCCGCCGUUUCGGUGUGCACUUGCUACGCCCACCUUGCUGCCGGGGACGUGCUCUUGAGUUCACGCUCGGGACACGGAGUCGGCGAGGUUACUUUGAGUAAAUUAGAGUGUUCAAAGCAGGCCUACGCUCUGAAUACAUUAGCAUGGAAUAACACGAUAGGACUCUGGCCUAUCUUGUUGGUCUGUAGGACCGGAGUAAUGAUUAAGAGGGACAGUCGGGGGCAUUCGUAUUUCAUUGUCAGAGGUGAAAUUCUGGGAUUUAUGAAAGACGAACUACUGCGAAAGCAUUUGCCAAGGAUGUUUUCAUUAA